rnacentral:rRNA from 1 species
AGUUUGACUCCUGGCUACAGAACGAACGCUGGCGGCAUGCCUAACACAUGCAAGUCGAACGAGACCUUCGGGUCUAGUGGCGCACGGGUGCGUAACGCGUGGGAACCUGCCUUUAGGUUCGGAAUAACAGUGAGAAAUUACUGCUAAUACCGGAUGAUGUCUUCGGACCAAAGAUUUAUCGCCCAAGGAUGAGCCCGCGUAGGAUUAGGUAGUUGGUGGGGUAAAGGCCUACCAAGGCGACGAUCCAUAGCUGGUCUGAGAGGAUGAUCAGCCACACUGGGACUGAGACACGGCCCAGACUCCUACGGGAGGCAGCAGUGGGGAAUAUUGGACAAUGGGCGAAAGCCUGAUCCAGCAAUGCCGCGUGAGUGAUGAAGGCCUUAGGGUUGUAAAGCUCUUUUACCCGAGAUGAUAAUGACAGUAUCGGGAGAAUAAGCUCCGGCUAACUCCGUG